GGAUUAGAUACCCUGGUAGUCCACGCUGUAAACGAUGAGUACUAGCCGUUGGCAUUUUCUUUUAGGAGAUGUAAGUGGCGCAGCAAACGCAAUAAGUACUCCGCCUGGGGACUACGGCCGCAAGGCUAAAACUCAAAGGAAUUGACGGGGGCCCGCACAAGCGGUGGAGCAUGUGGUUUAAUUCGAUGCAACGCGAAGAACCUUACCUACCCUUGACAUACCAGGAAGGAGCUAGAGAUAGCUCUGUGCCUUCGGGAAUCUGGAUACAGGUGCUGCAUGGCUGUCGUCAGCUCGUGCUG
rnacentral:rRNA from 1 species